UACAGAGGUCUCAAGCGUUGUCCGGAAUUAUUGGGCGUAAAGAGCUCGUAGGCGGUUCGUCGCGUCGGCUGUGAAAUCCCGAGGCUCAACCUCGGGUCUGCAGUCGAUACGGGCGGACUGGAGUUCGGCAGGGGAGACUGGAAUUCCUGGUGUAGCGGUGAAAUGCGCAGAUAUCAGGAGGAACACCGGUGGCGAAGGCGGGUCUCUGGGCCGAUACUGACGCUGAGGAGCGAAAGCGUGGGGAGCGAACAGG
rnacentral:rRNA from 1 species